AUUAUACCGUGAAACUGCGAAUGGCUCAUUAAAUCAGUUAUCGUUUAUUUGAUAGUACCUUACUACUUGGAUAACCGUGGUAAUUCUAGAGCUAAUACAUGCUGAAAACCCCGACUUCGGAAGGGGUGUAUUUAUUAGAUAAAAAACCAAUGCCCUUCGGGGCUCCUUGGUGAUUCAUAAUAACUUCUCAGAUCGCAUGGCCUUGCGCCGGCGACGGUUCAUUCAAAUUUCUGCCCUAUCAACUUUCGAUGGUAAGGUAUUGGCUUACCAUGGUUUCAACGGGUAACGGGGAAUUAGGGUUCGAUUCCGGAGAGGGAGCCUGAGAAACGGCUACCACAUCCAAGGAAGGCAGCAGGCGCGCAAAUUACCCAAUCCCGACACGGGGAGGUAGUGACAAUAAAUACUGAUACAGGGCUCUUUUGGGUCUUGUAAUUGGAAUGAGUACAAUUUAAACCUCUUAACGAGGAACAAUUGGAGGGCAAGUCUGGUGCCAGCAGCCGCGGUAAUUCCAGCUCCAAUAGCGUAUAUUAAAGUUGUUGCAGUUAAAAAGCUCGUAGUUGAACCUUUGGCCUGGCUGGCAGGUCCGCCUCACCGCGUGCACUUGUCCGGCCGGGCCUUCUUUUCUGGAGAACCGCAUGCCCUUCACUGGGUGUGUUGGGGACCAGGACUUUUACUUUGAAAAAAUUAGAGUGUUCAAAGCAGGCCUUUGCUCGAAUACGUUAGCAUGGAAUAAUAGAAUAGGACGUGCGGUCCUAUUUUGUUGGUUUCUAGGACCGCCGUAAUGAUUAAUAGGGACAGUCGGGGGCAUCAGUAUUCAAUUGUCAGAGGUGAAAUUCUUGGAUUUAUUGAAGACUAACUACUGCGAAAGCAU
rnacentral:rRNA from 1 species